GACGAACGCUGGCGGCGCGCUUAACACAUGCAAGUCGAACGGAAAGGCCUGCUUUCCCUUGUGGAUUGCGGGUACUCGAGUGGCGAACGGGUGAGUAACACGUGAGUGAUCUGCCCCCAACUUGGGUAUAAGCCUGGGACACUGGGUCUAAUUCCCGAUAGGACUGCAGGGUGGUUCCUGUGGUGGAAAACGAUUUUCUAGUGGUUGGGGAUGAGCUCGCGGCCUAUCAGCUUGUUGGUGGGGUAAUGGCCUACCAAGGCGGCGACGGGUAGCCGGCCUGGGAGGGUGGACGGCAAGAUUGGGACUGGGAUACGGCCCAGAGGCCUACGGGAGGCAGCAGUGGGGAAGAUUGCACAAUGGGCGGAAGCCUGAGGCAGCGACGCCGCGUGGGGGAUGACGGCCUUCGGGUUGGAACCUCCUUUAGAACGCGAGGAAGCCACCUGGUGGGAAGGGUGGUGACGGUAGUGGUAGAAGAAGCACCGGCUAACUACGU
rnacentral:rRNA from 1 species